UACGAAGGGGGCUAGCGUUGUUCGGAUUUACUGGGCGUAAAGGGCGCGUAGGCGGAUUUUUAAGUCAGGGGUGAAAUCCCAAGGCUCAACCUUGGAACUGCCUUUGAUACUGGGAAUCUUGAGUCCGGGAGAGGUGAGUGGAACUGCGAGUGUAGAGGUGAAAUUCGUAGAUAUUCGCAAGAACACCGGUGGCGAAGGCGGCCAACUGGACCAUUACUGACGCUGAGGCGCGAAAGCGUGGGGAGCAAACAGG
rnacentral:rRNA from 1 species